UUCGCUCUCACAGCGACGCAAAGGGACAGGAGUGCUGCAUCAAGGCGACAGCAACGCCUCCAGGCCGGGUGCGACAUGUAUAUGAAUUUGUUGUGUAUAGGUUGGCCAUGAAGCUCUACGUUGAGGAUGUGCUCGUGGUGUUCCCGUACGAGUACAUCUAUCCGGAGCAGCUGGACUACAUAACGGAGCUGAAGCGCGGCCUUGACAAGGGAGGACACAUGGUGUUGGAGAUGCCGUCGGGCACUGGAAAGACAAUCUCACUGCUGUCGAUCUUGGUCGCGUAUCUGCAUCACCACGCCCACGAGAAGCGGAAGGUGGUGUACUGCACCCGAACAGUGGAGGAGAUGGUGAAGACGAUGGGCGAAAUGCGGAAGCUGCUGAAGCACUGGGAGGCGGAAGGCGAGCAGCUUCGACCGCUGCGUGGCCUCUGUCUGACAGCAAAAAAGAACCUGUGCAUUGAGACUAGCGUCGCCUCGCUUAUACACCCGGACGAAGUGGACGCCGGCUGUCGCUCGAUCACGGCUCCGUGGCAGCAGGAAGGGCGAUGCGGGUAUUUUGACACGCUGGCUCAAGCACCAUUAGAGCUUCCUCCAGGUGUGUACUCAUUGGACGACUUGAAAGACUUUGGUGAGCAGCACCACGUGUGUCCCUACUACCUGGUGCGCAAGGCCCUCCCCGUCGUUGACAUUAUCGUGCACUCGUAUCUGUACAUGGUGGAUCCCGUAGUGUCGGAGGUGACGAAGGAGUUCCUGAACGAGAACACGAUUGUCGUGAUGGACGAGGGCCACAACGUGGACGACGUAUGCAUCGAGGCCAUGUCACUCAUCCUCACGAAGAAAGACUCCCUGGACGCAAAGCAGAAUAUGAAGGACUUGAGCAAGGAGCUGGACCAUUUGAAGGCGACGAACCGGCAGAUGCUGCAGGAUGAGUACGACCGCCUCGUGAACGGGCUGGCUAUGACUGAGAUGGCGCGCGACCCAGAGCAGCGCGCACUGGUGGAGGCGCCUGCGAUUCCGGCCAACGUAGCUGAGGGCGCCAUUCCCGCGUCGUUGCGCCAGGCCAACCACUUUCUCGCAUUCAUGCAGCGUCUUGUCGACUUUACGCAUCGCAUUGUGGCGCGCAUCACUCGUACAUACGUGGCUGACCCGCUGACGUUUCUCACGAAGCUGAAAGAGGAAUGCGCGCUGGAGAUUAGCCACUUCCGCUACUUGUCCGAGCGCCUGAAGGUGCUGCUGACAACCCUGCAAGUCACGAAUGCCGGCAAGUACCGCCCCGUAGCGCUUAUCGCACAGAUGUACACACUGCUCUCCAUGUACUACACGGAUGACCGGUACGAAAAACCGGGGUUCGUAGUGGUGUGCGAGGCAUUUGACCCAACGCGGCCGCAGAUUCCAGAUCCCGUCAUCCGCACCGUCUGCGUGGACGCCUCUCUGGCGCUUCGGGACACUUUUGCCCGGUACCGCAGUGUCAUCCUCACCUCCGGCACACUCUCGCCCAUGGACAUUUAUCCGAAAAUCCUGGGAUUUACCCCGGCCAUCUCAAAGUCGUUUCAAAUGACCCUGUCACGCAAGUGCAUUGCGCCAGUGAUUGUGACCCGCAGCUCGGAGAGCGUGAGCAUCACAGCUGAGGAGGUCACCAGUAGUUUCAAGGUGCGCACGAACCCAACUGCGCAGGCGCUCGUUACAUCGGCGUACGAGAGCCUGCUACUCGAGCUGGCAAAGACGGUUCCUGACGGGAUGGUGUGCUUCUUCACGGGGUACCAGUACAUGGGCGAGGUGCUGCUCGCUUGGCACAGCUCUGGGUUUCUGCAGAAGCUGGCGAAGCACAAGCUCAUCUUUGUCGAGACUCAGGGUGUGGAGGAGACGUCGGUUGCACUCGCCAACUACCGCCGAGCUUGCGACAUUGGGCGCGGCGCCAUAUUCAUGUCGAUUGCUCGCGGCAAGAUCGCAGAGGGAAUCGAUUUCGAUCGCCAUUACGGUCGUGCCGUGGUUAUGUUCGGUGUUCCCUUUUUGCCCCCGAACGAUGAGCCCCUGCGACAGCGGAUGCACUGGAUGGAGGUGUGCCUUGGCAUAUCAGAAAGCGAGUUUCGCAACUUCGAUGCAAUGCGCCAGGCGUCGCAGUGCAUCGGGCGGGUGCUGCGCAACAAGACAGACUACGGAAUGAUGCUUCUGGUCGAUAAGCGCUUCGCGCUCAAUGACAAAGUCAAGAAGAUUCCACGCUGGAUCGUGCAGUGCCUGAAGAACAACACCAAUCUGAGCGUUGAUGCUGCCGUCGCGGUUGCCCGGGGGUUCUUCAAGGAGAUGGCGCAGCCAUGGGAGCACGAGAAGGACCUCGGCACCACUUUGCUCUCGAAAGAGACUCUCCGAAGGAUGGGUAGACUGAGCUCAUCAGCUGCCAAGUACGCAUCUUUCUCGGAAACCCUAGCUGCCGAGAAUGUGAGCACCGUGACGGCGCCAACGACGGAGUUUGAGGAGAUUGUUGGUAUCACCGCAGUGCGCGAGCCAGGGGCCGGUAGUCGAAAGCGCAAGCGAGAUGGUGAGAGGGAGUGAGUGCUUCUCAUCUUCGUCUUUCUUUUGCUUUUGCCCUGCUUGUAGUUCGCUCGGUGAUGUAACGCUGCUGCAUCUUCAUCCUCUCUCUGCGCAGCACUGUUUGCGCUCCUCGGUCAGCCAGCUGCUCAUUUUCUUUUAGAGGGCUUCCCUCCGUUUUUGCCGGUCGAUCGCACUUGUAACUCAGCACUUUUGUUUUGCUUCUGUGCAUUCCGGGACAUGCAGCUAUCGGUGCUCGCCACCGAUUGUCUUCACGCAGUGGGUGGCGGAAACAGCGAGGACGAGGGGUAAGGACUCAGUCAACCCUCGUGCGGUCAAUCCGCAGCGGUGGAUCCUCCCCCAUUCAGACGAGAGGACCGCACCGCUGCCGCGGUAGUUGCUCUGUUACUCCCCACCACCAUUACCAUCAUGCUUCCACGGCUUGGCCACGUUGGACGCUGACUAGUCUUUCAGCAGGGUGCGAUGGGGAAAGCUUGACUUUGCACAAAGCAGAGAAUGCACAAGAACUGAGCGAGAAAAAAGUCGAGAACGAAAUAGCAGUCCUAGAAGGUGGAGGUGUGGCGUGCAUCAUUGGGUACUGAUCGUUAGAGCAAGCAAGUCGAGCCACAUUUCGCUAGGGGUGAUGGAUGCCGUCGGCAUGCUGUUGUACCGGUUUGAAAUUUGUUGAACUGCACUCACUGUUGCCCUUCCCCCCGAUGAUUAUCAAUCUGGUGGUGGCUGACCUUCACCUCUCCUUCCCCCUUUUUGUGUUUUCUUCUUUCUUCGACUUCACAUUGCAUACGUUGGUUCCCUUUCCAUGACAUGGAG
rnacentral:misc_RNA from 1 species